rnacentral:rRNA from 1 species
CCUACGGGUGGCAGCAGUGGGGAAUAUUGGACAAUGGGGGGAACCCUGAUCCAGCCAUGCCGCGUGUGUGAAGAAGGCCCUCGGGUUGUAAAGCACUUUCAGUGAGGAAGAACGCCUGGUGGUUAAUACCCAUCAGGAAAGACAUCACUCACAGAAGAAGCACCGGCUAACUCCGUGCCAGCAGCCGCGGUAAUACGGAGGGUGCGAGCGUUAAUCGGAAUUACUGGGCGUAAAGCGCGCGUAGGUGGCUUGAUAAGCCGGUUGUGAAAGCCCCGGGCUCAACCUGGGAACGGCAUCCGGAACUGUCAAGCUAGAGUGCAGGAGAGGAAGGUAGAAUUCCCGGUGUAGCGGUGAAAUGCGUAGAGAUCGGGAGGAAUACCAGUGGCGAAGGCGGCCGUCUGGACUGACACUGACACUGAGGUGCGAAAGCGUGGGUAGCAAACAGGAUUAGAUACCCUGGUAGUC